AACGAACGCUGGCGGCAUGCCUAACACAUGCAAGUCGAACGAGACCUUCGGGUCUAGUGGCGCACGGGUGCGUAACGCGUGGGAACCUGCCCUUAGGUUCGGAAUAACUCUCCGACAGGGGUGCUAAUACCGGAUAAUGUCUUCGGACCAAAGAUUUAUCGCCUUUGGAUGGGCCCGCGUUGGAUUAGCUAGUUGGUAGGGUAAAAGCCUACCAAGGCGACGAUCCAUAGCUGGUCUGAGAGGAUGAUCAGCCACACUGGGACUGAGACACGGCCCAGACUCCUACGGGAGGCAGCAGAGGGUAAUAUAGGACAAUGGGCGAAAGCCUGAUCCAGCAAUGCCGCGUGAGUGAUGAAGGCCUUAGGGUUGUAAAGCUCUUUUACCCGGGAUGAUAAUGACAGUACCGGGAGAAUAAGCUCCGGCUAACUCCGUG
rnacentral:rRNA from 1 species